UGAUGGAUUUUCGAAUGAAAUGCACUCAACCCUAAAUUCCAGUGGGGGUGGCUGAAGCAGUUGCCGGAUAUGACUUAUGGCAGCCAAGUUUGGGAGUCAAAAUGACCACACUACCCCGUCAAGGGUUCAGAUCUUGCCGUCAGGUGAUAUGAGAGAGGGGGUUUGAUUGCCCAAUUGGUUGUUUCAUCAAUUAAUUGUGUGCAAACAUUUAUGUGUAAUUUUUUACUUCUUCCACUUAAAUGGUAAGAUCAAAUUAAGCUAAGAACUUUGGGUUUUGUAAAUGUUGUGUAAUUUAAUUAUUCAUAGUAUCAAUUAAUUUUGAGCAAACAUUUCUGGGUAGUUGUUAAUUUCCCUCAAUAUUUGAUAAUAAUUAAAUUAAAGCUGAGAACUUUGUAUUUUGUUCAUUACCUGCCGUAGAUUUUACUUGACAGAGAAAAUGUAUUUUCCUUGAUAUUAUUCAUGUUUUGUUUUCUUUAAGAUCGCAUUGUAAUGGGUCUCUUUGGAAAAACAAUUCUUAAGACCAAUUGUGAG